GGGAAGGACCAUAGCUCAGCCGUAGAGCAUCAGUUUUGCAUGCAGAAGAUUCCAGGUUCAAUCCCUAGCUUUUUCU